GAGAAAAAGCACAAGCAUUACUAAAAGGUAUUCCUUGGUAAAUCUAGCAAAUGUUCUCAUGCAAGCACCUUUAUAGUAUUCAAUUUUCUAUGAUGUUUAUUACAACAGGAAGCUAGUAUAGUUAGAGGCUGAGGUCAAUGAUGGUCACAUCUGAAAUCAUUAAACUGCUACUGAUCUAGAGAGGUGUUUAUUUCAUGGUAUGAAACUAGAGUCAAAAUCAUUUCAGGCAACUGAGUCAUAAGGGAAAGAGUGUCAACUGACACUCAUGAAACACCGUGUUAGACUAAAUAUGAUAGUUUCCUUGACACAACUUCAAUAGUGUCCUAAGAGGCAGAAACACCGUGUUAGAAUAUAUCAAUGUGUUUUCAUGUCCAAAACAGAAACUACCUGACAACUAAAAGAUAAAAAAGGGCUGGCCACAUACAUACAAAGUUUCUAAGUGUCCUAAGAGGCAGUCGCAACCAGAACAAGCAGCAUAGUCUUCUGCCAUAUUAUAUUUAUGCUACUCAAAGCCUAGCUACCUUCUCUUUCAGUUUGCAAAUAGUUAUAAUGGUGGUUGGGUAGCAAAUAAUAUUUCACAGCAAAAUGAUCUAUGAGGUCACAUUUUCUAAAUUUAACAAAAGAAUAUCAGAAUUGUUGCCUAAAAAUUAACUUAUGGGACAAGGAAAUAGAUCUUGAGUGCUGAUCUGCACCUCUAGUAUCUAUUAUGCCACUUAUGCAGAAACCUCUAGUUGACCACUGCCAGAAGAUCAGGGGAGUACAGAGUCCAAUAUUCUACAGUGUCAUAUGUUAGCAAAGUUCUGCUAGUGAAAUCAGGUAGUGUAAAUACAAACUCACUUUAUCAUUUCGGUUGAUCCUAAUCAUGAAGGUCCAGGAGAAAAAGCACAAGCAUUACUAAAAGGUAUUCCUUGGUAAAUCUAGCAAAUGUUCUCAUGCAGGCACCUUUAUAUUAUUCAAUUUUGUAUGAUGUUUAUUACAAUAGGAAGCUAGUAUAGUUAGAGGCUGAGGUCAAUGAUGGUCACAUCUGAAAUCAUUAAACUGCUACUGAUCUAGAGAGGUGUUUAUUUCAUGGUAUGAAACUAGAGUCAAAAUCAUUUCAGGCAACUGAGUCAUAAGGG
rnacentral:lncRNA from 1 species